UAAAUAAUCUUGAAGAAGGUAUUACUAACAGUGUUAAUGUAAAAAAUAAUGAAGUAACAGAUGGUGAUGUUAAUAACAAUAACUUUAAUUUGCUUGAAAUAAUUAAUAAUAGUAACAUAAUUAUAAAUAAAACGAUUACUAAACCUGUCGAAAUUGUAGAUAUAAUUACAUGUAUAUUUGUUUUUAUUAACGCGGAUUCUGGUAAUAUUACUGAAGAAGAAAAAAAUAAUACGUGAUCUUACAUUAUAUAUUUUAAAAACAAAAGAAAAUUAUUAUUUUAAUAAUAUUAUAAAUAAUAAAAAAUAUAUAUUUAAGUAUCGUAAUAAUGUAAAAGAUGCUAUUAUGUUUAGUGAAUUAUCAAUCAGAAAAAAUGAAAAAAAACGACAUUAUUGUAAUAGGGUUAGUGUUAAGUAAAGAUAUAUCUAUGAGUAGUGUACAGAUAGAUAUUCAUAAUUUAUAUGAUUUAAAAAAUUAUUUAAAUAAUAAAUAUACUAAUAAACAAUUUAACAUGAAUAUUAAAAUUUUUACUUUUUAUUGGAUAUAUGAAGUUUAUGUUUAUGGUUCAAUUUUUUUAAAAAACAAAGAGUUUCAUCAUAUUAUCCGAGAAUAUAAUGGUGUCUAUCAGUUACCGUACGAUGUCCAGUGGGAAAGCAAACCGCUUUGGGGAUUUUACCUCUAUAUCAUUCAAGAUAGCAUCGAAAGUAAAUACAAUGAAGAAAUUGUGAAGAACUUAAAAAA